AGGAAACUGAGGUUGAGAGAGGUAGCAGAUCAGACGGCUUGUCCAUGCAGAGUCUGUGUGCAAAGCCAGGUUGUCUGACUCCAGACCUGGGCACUCAGGCUGUGCAUCCGCGGCAUCCUGGACUCACUCUCGGAGGAGUGGCCAGUGAGCACUAUCCUGGCACAGAGGGCACGAGGCGAGAGCUGAACGGCCGUGCCCCAGAGCAAAUGUUGGGGUGAGCGUGCUGUACUCCUGCAGACACCAGCCUGUCGCACCCCUGCACCCCUGCAGGCUGGUUCAGAGCGGAAAAUUAAAGGACACGCCAGACCUGA